GAUGUUGGGUUAAGUCCCGCAACGAGCGCAACCCUUGUCAUUAGUUGCUACAUUUAGUUGGGCACUCUAGUGAGACUGCCGGUGACAAACCGGAGGAAGGUGGGGAUGACGUCAAGUCCUCAUGGCCCUUAUAGGUGGGGCUACACACGUCAUACAAUGGCUGGUACAAAGGGUUGCCAACCCGCGAGGGGGAGCUAAUCCCAUAAAACCAGUCGUAGUCCGGAUCGCAGUCUGCAACUCGACUGCGUGAAGUCGGAAUCGCUAGUAAUCGUGGAUCAGCAUGCCACGGUGAAUACGUUCCCGGGCCUUGUACACACCGCCCGUCACGUCACGAAAGUCGGUAACACCCGAAGCCAGUGGCCCAACCCCUUGUGGGGGGGAGCUGUCGAAGGUGGGAUCGGCGAUUGGGACGAAGUCGUAACAAGGUAGCCGUACCGGAAGGUGCGGCUGGAUCACCUCCUU
rnacentral:rRNA from 1 species